AACGUAGGAGACAAACGUUAUCCGGAGUUACUGGGCGUAAAGGGCGUGUAGGUGGUUUCGUAAGUCUGGCGUGAAAUUUUUCGGCUUAACCGGGAAAGGUCGUCGGAUACUGCGGGACUAGAGGACGGUAGAGGCGUGUGGAAUUCCGGGUGUAGUGGUGAAAUGCGUAGAGAUCCGGAGGAACACCAGUGGCGAAGGCGACACGCUGGGCCGUACCUGACACUGAUGCGCGACAGCAGUGGGGAGCAAACGAG
rnacentral:rRNA from 1 species